CCUCAUCAGUCAAAACUGCAGUAACAGCAAAUCCCGUCUGAUAACACAAGCUGUAAACACGCUUAUAUUAAGCUUGGCACAGCUUUCAUUCUACUGGUGACAUCUUAAGGUAUCAUCUGUACAUGCACAGAGAACAAAGGUGUUCUCAUGAGACUUAUAAGCCUUCUUAUCCUGAAUUAAUGGUAACGUGAAGUUGCAGGCUGCUAGAAGAGAUCUACAUUCCUCAGUUGUGCAGUGAGGUCAAAUGUCCUGUCUGGAACUGAUGACGUCAGGAAUCAAGCUUAAACUGACAGAUGCUUGAUCCAAGGAGAAAUGACAAUUAAAGAGACCACCAUCUUCUGGGCCAUCCUCAUACAGUGGCAAGUGUUCCUCAUGGAUCCAUGAUGUCUAUCAAAUACCUGAUCCACACGAUGGAAGCCUGAUAUAGACACAACCAUGAUGUUUAAUCAACCAAAAACCAGCACAAUAACUUGUUAUACAGUUGCUGCAAACAUUCUCCUGGGCCACAUACACAGAAAUAAAGUUGUUCGGAAACAAUCUGGUGGUUUGAUCCUGACAGUAACCACACACUAUACAAUAACUUGGUUUAUGUUGAUGCCUGAAGAAAGAAACUGCAAACUUUACACUUUAUUUUGUUUCUUGGAGAUGCAGCGUUGCAACCACUUACAGGGACAUAGACUGUAUACACAAGUGGGCAUUGCUUUACUGACUUUUGAUAUUUUCCUACACCAAUAAAUGUUAAAAUAUUUUAUAAGUUGAAUUUUACCCCAUUCAGGUACUAAAUCACUGUGUACCUGAUAAAAGGACAUUUAUCGAGAUUACCUUGUCUCACUCACUCGCGACAGGUCAUCACGAGAGGAGGAUUAUGUCAGGACAAUUGUCCAGUAUAAUUCACCGUUUUGACAUUGCAUAUUAAUCACAUAUGUCUGUGCUAUAUAAUAUAGGGGUACAAUUGAUCAUGUGUAUUUACUUAUAUAUUCAGGUACACAUACACAUAUAUAUUAUUUUUCAGUAUUAAUAUGUAGCUAUUAGCUAGUGCUGCUUGUCAGUAUAUAAUUAUCAAAAUAAUCCAUGUUUUGUUACUAUGAUAUUCAAGGUCCCCAACAUAGCUGCAUGAUUCCUAUCAUUAUAUUACUGGUAUAAAUAUUCACAAAUAUCCCCAUGUUUGUCAUACAUGGUUCCAGUAAGUCUCUUUUUCUAUAAAAAUUAGUGGGGUUCAACCUUGGUUAAUGGUCAAAUAGAGAUACUGACUUGUUUUUCAGAAUAUAUUUACAAAAUACAUAUUUGUCUGUUAUAGCUUAGUGACGAGUGCCAUCUUCCGAGGGAAAAAUAUUCUAACUGCUAAAUUUUAGCUUAUUGACAAAAAUGUUCCUUAAUCUGUAAUUAGUGUUAGCCAAUCAAUUAUGUAAACCUAACCUUAUCAGUUGGGGUGGAGUUAAGCACUUUCCAUAAAAUACACACUCACCCACAAAAGGGGGAGAGGGGAACACAGCAGACGGCACAAGGGGCCACACUGAGCAUGCAUGAUAACCACAUCCUAUCCAGAGGAGAUGGGAGGCUAAGAUGACCAGAUAGACAAGUCAGGAUAAUGGCGAGAGAGGGUCCAGGGGUAACCUAAGAGGGUCUAUUUACACUGAACCCCAGUGAAGGAUCCCACAAUGUUGAUAAGUAUGAAACAAACCUAUAUGAAACAGUUUUAUUAAUAUGAUUUAUGCUCUUUACAUUUAUAUUGAAAAUUGUAUUAUUGAAUCAGGUGAGUUAAUCAAUUCUGGUUUGCCUUUUAUAGUCACAAAUAUUUUGUUUGGUAAUUCCUGUUAACCUGGUCUUAUCUGUCGACAAUAACACUGGGUCAAUCAGGAAUCUGGUAAUAAUAUCAUUUUCUUAUGGUCUUCCAGGAUUAUUAGUCUACCUGAUUCUUGCCAGCUAUGCUGAGAAUUUAUAUAACAAAAGUUUCUGUUUCUUUAUUAUACACGCAAGUUACUGCAAAUAAAAUAAUUUAGUGAUUGUUUUCAUUAAUUUUAACCUGAUAAUCAUUAAAUCAUUGUAAUGA